rnacentral:rRNA from 1 species
UACAGGGGGGGCAAGCGUUGUUCGGAAUUACUGGGCGUAAAGGGCUCGUAGGCGGCCAACUAAGUCGGAUGUGAAAUCCCCAGGCUUAACCUGGGAAUUGCAUCCGAUACUGGAUGGCUUGAAUCCGGGAGAGGGAUGCGGAAUUCCAGGUGUAGCGGUGAAAUGCGUAGAUAUCUGGAGGAACACCGGUGGCGAAGGCGGGUCUCUGGGCAGUAACUGACGCUGAGGAGCGAAAGCGUGGGGAGCGAACAGG